rnacentral:rRNA from 1 species
GARRURCCKGKSCUUGKGAGAUUAUCCMUGUAUGUCCAAGUUAGGAUUUUUUUUUAACUGCGGACGGCUCAUUAUAUUCUUCGUAAUUUAUUCGGUUGACAUGAUAUGGAUAACUCUGCGAAACGCAAAGUAAAUACAUGAAUUCUUGUUUUUGAGUCAAUGUUUUAUAAUCCAACGUCAGUUGUUUCUGACAUAUGUAAACAUGUUUAAUCAAUGAUUUGAUCGUCCGUAUAAGCGAUUAUUCUAUCAGCUGAAAUAGUAAGGUAUUGGCUUACGAUGGCAUUAACGGGUAACGGGGAAUUUGGGUUUGAUUCCGGAGAAGGAGCUUUAAAAAUGGCUACUACAUCUAAGGAUGGCAGCAGGCGCGUAAAUUACCAAUUUUCGAUUAGAAGAGGUAGUGAAUAACAAUACUGGCGAUAGAUGUUUUUCAUCUUUUGACCAGCAUGAAUAUAGUCUUAUACACUAUGUAAUAAUCAAUUAAAGGGCAAGUCUGGUGCCAGCAGCCGCGGUAAUUCCAGCUUUAAUAGCAUAUAUUAAAAUUGUUGCAGUUAAAACGCUCGUAGUUUAAUAAAGUGUUCACUAUUUGUCUAUUGUUAUGGAUUUAGAAGUGAAUUUGGUUACAACUAUAAUUUUGUUUUUGGUUGUACUCUUACUCAAAUGAAAAAACAGUGUUCUAAACAUUCUUUGAGUUCUGUUUCAUAGUAUUGGUCACAUGUUUUUUGGGCUUUUGCGAAGCCUUCAUUAAAAAUAGUGCAAUAAAAGCUAUGUAAGGCAUCGAUACUUAACUGCUAGAGGUGAAAUUCUUAUACCAGUUAAUGAUUUUGUUUUGCGAAAGCAUUUGCCUAAUAAGUUUUUUCUGACAAAGAACGAAAGUUGAGGGAUCAAAGAUGAUUAGAUACCAUCGUAGUCUUGACUUUAAACAAUGCUUAUAGGCCAUUAGAUGUGCAUUAAGUCAUUUAGUGGUCUUUGAGAAAUUGAAAUGUUCAAGUUCUGGGGGGAGUAUUGUUGCAAGAUUGAAACUUAAAGGAAUUGACGGAAGGGCACCACCAGAAUUGGAGCUUGCGGCUUAAUUUGACUCAACGCGGGAAAUCUUACUAGGACAAGACAUAAAAAGGAUUGACAGAUUGAUAGCUUUUUCUUAAUCCUAUGGGUGGUGGUGCAUGGCCGUUCUUAGUUGGUGGAGUGAUCUGUCAGGUUAAUUCCGUUAACGGGCGAGAUUUUUUCUCCCUUGUUGGGUUUGAAAGAACUGGUCAAGGAGGACACUAUAAUCACAAUAUAGGGAAGUAAAAAGCGAUAACAGGUCUGUGAUGCCCUUAGAUGCUCUAGGUUGCACGCGUGCUACAAUAAUCGACAUAAAUUGGUUACCUCACAGCGAUUGAGGUGUUAACAUUUAUAGUCCUUUUCGUUAGGGAUAAACCUUUGUAAUUAUAGGUUUUUAACUUGGAAAUUCUUGUAACUGUAAAUCAUUAUUUUAUGGUGAAUACGUCCCUGCCCUUUGUACACACCGCCCGUCGCUGCAAUUGAUUGGGUUAUUGAGUGAGUUGUUUGGACAGAUGUGUUGCUUGAAUGCAAUGUUAUUUUAAUAAAUACGAACKUMGAGUAACUAGAAGAUGCUACGA